rnacentral:rRNA from 1 species
GACGAACGCUGGCGGCGUGCUUAACACAUGCAAGUCGAACGAAGUGGCGAACGGGUGAGUAACGCGUAAUCAACCUGCCCUUCAGAGGGGGACAACAGUUGGAAACGACUGCUAAUACCGCAUACUGAAGGAGGGGCUUGCGUCUGAUUAGCUAGGUGGAGGGGUAACGGCCCACCAAGGCGAUGAUCAGUAGCCGGUCGGAGAGGGUGGAGGGCGACAGUGGGACUGGGACACGGCCGAGACUGCUACGGGAGGGAGCAGUGGGGAAUCUGGCGCAAUGGACGAAAGUCUGGCGGAGCAACGCGGCGGGAGUGAUGACGGCCUUCGGGUUGUAAAGCUCUGUUAAUCGGGACGCGGUACCGGAAUAGAAAGCCACGGCUAACUACGUGCCAGCAGCCGCGGUAAUAC